rnacentral:rRNA from 1 species
GUGUAAAGGCACAAGGGAGCUUGACUGCGAGACCUACAAGUCGAGCAGGGACGAAAGUCGGGCUUAGUGAUCCGGUGGUUCCGCAUGGAAGGGCCAUCGCUCAACGGAUAAAAGCUACCCCGGGGAUAACAGGCUUAUCUCCCCCAAGAGUCCACAUCGACGGGGAGGUUUGGCACCUCGAUGUCGGCUCAUCGCAUCCUGGGGCUGUAGUCGGUCCCAAGGGUUGGGCUGUUAGCCCAUUAAAGCGGUACGCGAGC